rnacentral:rRNA from 1 species
GUCGAACGAGAAUCUACUGAAGGAGGAUUCGUCCAACGGAUGUAGAGGAAAGUGGCGGACGGGUGAGUAACGCGUGAGGAACCUGCCUUGAAGAGGGGGACAACAGUUGGAAACGACUGCUAAUACCGCAUGAAGCAUAGGGGUCGCAUGAUCUUUAUGCCAAAGAUUUAUCGCUUCAAGAUGGCCUCGCGUCUGAUUAGCUAGUUGGCGGGGUAACGGCCCACCAAGGCGACGAUCAGUAGCCGGACUGAGAGGUUGAACGGCCACAUUGGGACUGAGAUACGGCCCAGACUCCUACGGGAGGCAGCAGUGGGGAAUAUUGGGCAAUGGGCGCAAGCCUGACCCAGCAACGCCGCGUGAAGGAAGAAGGCUUUCGGGUUGUAAACUUCUUUUAAGAGGGAAGAGCAGAAGACGGUACCUCUAGAAUAAGCCACGGCUAACUACGUGCCAGCAGCCGCGGUAAUACGUAGGUGGCAAGCGUUGUCCGGAUUUACUGGGUGUAAAGGGCGUGCAGCCGGGUCUGCAAGUCAGAUGUGAAAUCCAUGGGCUCAACCCAUGAACUGCAUUUGAAACUGUAGAUCUUGAGUGUCGGAGGGGCAAUCGGAAUUCCUAGUGUAGCGGUGAAAUGCGUAGAUAUUAGGAGGAACACCAGUGGCGAAGGCGGAUUGCUGGACGAUAACUGACGGUGAGGCGCGAA